rnacentral:misc_RNA from 1 species
GAUGAAGAACGUAGCGAAAUGCGAUAAGUAAUGUGAAUUGCAGAAUUCAGUGAAUCAUCGAAUCUUUGAACGCACAUUGCGCCCGCCAGUAUUCUGGCGGGCAUGCCUGUUCGAGCGUCGUUUCAACCCUCAAGCCCAGCUUGGUGUUGGGGAUCGGCACAGGCGCCCUCGGGCGCCCGCCGUCCCCUAAAUCUAGUGGCGGUCCCGCUGCAGCCUCCUCUGCGUAGUAGUUUUCUCCUCGCAAGGGCAGCUCGGUGGCGACCUCGCCGUAAAACCCCCAACUUCUGAAAGGUUGACCUCGAAUCAGGUAGGAAUACCCGCUGAACUUAAGCAUAUCAAUAAGCGGAGGA